GAUGAACGCUGGCGGCGUGCUUAACACAUGCAAGUCGAACGGAAAGGCCAGUGCUUGCACUGGUACUCGAGUGGCGAACGGGUGAGUAACACGUGGGUGAUCUGCCCUGCACUUCGGGAUAAGCCUGGGAAACUGGGUCUAAUACCGGAUAGGACAAUGGUUUGGAUGCCGUUGUGGAAAGUUUUUUCGGUGUGGGAUGAGCUCGCGGCCUAUCAGCUUGUUGGUGGGGUAAUGGCCUACCAAGGCGUCGACGGGUAGCCGGCCUGAGAGGGUGUACGGCCACAUUGGGACUGAGAUACGGCCCAGACUCCUACGGGAGGCAGCAGUGGGGAAUAUUGCACAAUGGGCGCAAGCCUGAUGCAGCGACGCCGCGUGGGGGAUGACGGCCUUCGGGUUGUAAACUCCUUUCGCUAGGGACGAAGCGUAUUUGUGACGGUACCCGGAGAAGAAGCACCGGCUAACUACGUG
rnacentral:rRNA from 1 species